AUGUAAUGUUCUGUCAAAAGUCUUUAGAGUGCUUUCGGUAAAAUCGAUAUGUAUAAGUCUCCAACGAGAUGAACUGAAUAAAGUAGUUAUUCGAGCUUGAGCCGUGAUCAAGAGCGGAGUCAAAUCUUUAAGUGUUUUAUUAUAAAUCGCAUUAUCACAAAGAAGUUUAAUACAAUUAAUAAGUUUAUUUAGUCUAAGAGGGGAUUAUUAUAAGUGAUAUUUAGUGAACUUUACAGUGGCGACGAGAAAGUGAAACGAAUCCACAGAUAGUGCCCCAGCUCAGACGGAAAUUUCCAGUGUGAGCUACGUCAUCAUCAUUAAUCGAUCGACAUUUUGUCCGUCGGUGCCUUCUGUACAGAUCCGAGAAGUGUGAAGGAAGCAGUGAGAGGAGAGAAGUUUAUGCAGAAUCCAUGAGCUGCGACUGCGAGCAAUUCUAAGUGAGACAUCAUUGGAUAGGAGAGGAGAGCGUAUAUGAAAAGAUCAGUGAGCGAAGUGCAUGCCGGUUAGCUGAGCAAGGUGCAUGAGAACUUGUGUCAGCAAGGUCGAAUCGGAUAGUAGAUCGAACGGAGUGUAAAAGCUACCUCCAGCGCGAAAGAGAAGAGAGAGAGACAAGCAAAACAGCAGAGCAGAAACAACAGAGGAGAAGACGACCACUGCGAGAUUUUCGGCGGUGAGACUGAGUAGUGAGUCGAGUGAGAAAUUGCAUUCGCAACGUUUGAGUGAGUGUCCAGCAUCUAACGUCGAUACGAAAUGUCGGUACCAGGUAUGAUUGGGACCAUUGAUCAUUACCAUACGGGUAAAUCGUUUAGUAAUUAUGUAGAGCGUUUCGAAAUUAUGUGUAAAUUGAAUAAAG